GACUACAGGGGUAUCUAAUCCUGUUUGCUCCCCACGCUUUCGUGCAUGAGCGUCAGUACUGGCCCAGGAGGCUGCCUUCGCCAUCGGUGUUCCUCCGCAUAUCUACGCAUUUCACUGCUACACGCGGAAUUCCACCUCCCUCUGCCGUACUCUAGUUAUGCAGUCACAAACGCAGUUCCCAGGUUGAGCCCGGGGAUUUCACAUCUGUCUUACAUAACCGCCUGCGCACGCUUUACGCCCAGUAAUUCCGAUUAACGCUCGCACCCUACGUAUUACCGCGGCUGCUGGCACGUAGUUAGCCGGUGCUUCUUCUGAUGGUACCGUCAUCCGCACAAGGUAUUAACCUAUGCGUUUUCUUUCCACCUGAAAGAGCUUUACAACCCGAAGGCCUUCUUCACUCACGCGGCAUGGCUGGAUCAGGCUUUCGCCCAUUGUCCAAAAUUCCCCACUGCAGCCGCCCGUAGG
rnacentral:rRNA from 1 species